rnacentral:rRNA from 1 species
GACGAACGCUGGCGGCGUGCUUAACACAUGCAAGUCGAACGGAAAGGCCCUGCUUUUGUGGGGUGCUCGAGUGGCGAACGGGUGAGUAACACGUGAGUAACCUGCCCUUGACUUUGGGAUAACUUCAGGAAACUGGGGCUAAUACCGGAUAGGAGCUCCUGCUGCAUGGUGGGGGUUGGAAAGUUUCGGCGGUUGGGGAUGGACUCGCGGCUUAUCAGCUUGUUGGUGGGGUAGUGGCUUACCAAGGCUUUGACGGGUAGCCGGCCUGGGAGGGUGACCGGCCACAUUGGGACUGAGAUACGGCCCAGACUCCUACGGGAGGCAGCAGUGGGGAAUAUUGCACAAUGGGCGGAAGCCUGAUGCAGCAACACCGCGUGCGGGAUGACGGCCUUCGGGUUGUAAACCGCUUUCGCCUGUGACGAAGCGUGAGUGACGGUAAUGGGUAAAGAAGCACCGGCUAACUACGUG